rnacentral:rRNA from 1 species
GACGAACCGUGCGAACGUUGUUCGGAUUCACUGGGCUUAAAGGGCGCGUAGGCGGGCAUUCAAGUCAGGGGUGAAAGCCCCCGGCCUAACCGGGGAAGUGCCUCUGAGACUGAGUGUCUCGAGUGGGGUAGGGGCAGUUGGAACUCUCGGUGGAGCGGUGAAAUGCGUAGAUAUCGGGAGGAACGCCGGUGGCGAAAGCGGGCUGCUGGACCCCUUCUGACGCUGAGGCGCGAAAGCCAGGGGAGCGAACGGGAUUAGAUACCCCGGUAGUCCUGGCCCUAAACGAUGGGUACCAGGCUGUGGGCUGACAUGGGCUCCCAGCCGAGGCAAAAGUGUUAAGUACCCCGCCUGGGGAGUAUGGUCGCAAGGCUGAA